rnacentral:rRNA from 1 species
AACGAACGUUAGCGGCGCGCUUAACACAUGCAAGUCGAACGAGAAAGUCCCUUCGGGGGCGAGUACAGUGGCGCACGGGUGAGUAACACGUGGAUUACCUACCUUCUGGUGGGGGACAACACUCCGAAAGGGGUGCUAAUACCGCAUAAGUCCGCCUCGGUGGGGAAAGAUGGCCUCUCCUUGGAAGCUAUCGCCAGAAGAAGGGUCCGCGUCCCAUCAGCUUGUUGGUAGGGUAAAGGCCUACCAAGGCUACGACGGGUAGCUGGUCUGAGAGGAUGAUCAGCCACACUGGAACUGAGACACGGUCCAGACUCCUACGGGUGGCAG